UACGUAGGGUGCAAGCGUUAAUCGGAAUUACUGGGCGUAAAGCGUGCGCAGGCGGUCUUGCAAGACAGAUGUGAAAUCCCCGGGCUCAACCUGGGAACUGCAUUUGUGACUGCAAGGCUGGAGUGCGGCAGAGGGGGAUGGAAUUCCGCGUGUAGCAGUGAAAUGCGUAGAGAUCGGGAGGAACAUCAGUUGCGAAGGCGGCUCUCUGGACCAGCACUGACACUGAGGCACGAAAGCGUGGGGAGCAAACAGG
rnacentral:rRNA from 1 species